AAGUCGUAACAAGGUUUCCGUAGGUGAACCUGCGGAAGGAUCAUUACAUUCAGUAGCUUGCUACUAUUAGGGGGGUCUAUCAGCCUGUAUAGUAUCACUACUGAUGAGCAGCACGACCCUCUGUCUGUACCCUUGUCUUUUGCGCACUCAUGUUUCCUCGGCGGCUAACCCCGCCGGCUGGACAACACUAUAACCUUUUUGAAUUUUCAAUCAGCGUCUGAAAACUUAAUAAUUACAA
rnacentral:misc_RNA from 1 species